AUCAAGUUAUGCCUGAAGCUUAGUCCUUGAGCCUUCAACUACAUGAACCAAUAUAUUUCUCUAAUUAACCAGGACCUUUUUAUUGCAUUGGGCCCAUCUGGAUAUCCCAGGAUAAUCUCCCUACUUCAAGAGAGAAUGAAGGCAAGGAGAAUGUAAGAACUCAGAAGGCAAGAAGAGAAGCUGGCAUUAGAAUGCGGUUGAACAAGAGAAAGAGUUGGAGAUGCUGAGUUCUGGAGGCAGAUCUACCUAAGGAGGAACUCUCUGUUCAUCGUCUUCCAUGGCCUCAUCUGUGAUGGACACUGGAGAAUAAACCUUUCUUAAAGGCUGCAUAGCAUUGUACCCCAUUUUCCUGCUGGUGUAGGAUGUCUCUCCAUCCUGACAAUUCCAGAAUGCAGAGCAUGUGGACCUUUCCUCAUCUAUUCAGAACCUCAUCUAUUCAGAACCUCAUCUACUCAGAAUUUAAAAACAUUAUUUAAGAAGAGACAAGGAAAAAAAGAUGGAGGGAUGAUUUUUGUGCCAUUUCAGGGUGACAGAAAAGGAAACAAGGAGAGCUGGAAUUGACCUGGAUCCUUGUGGGAAAUACUUCAGUGAUGGAUGGAAGCAGAGGGAGAAAGGACCAAAAUGAAGCCAGGAGGGACAAGAUGGCUGGAAUGUUUGGUUCUGAGGAUUCAUGAUUGUCCUUAACUCACACGGACUGAACUCUCGCUUGCCUGUCUUCCUGGGGCUUGUGUAAGAACAUCCUGCAGAAAAAGUCCUGCCAAUGAGAUGUAGACAGAAGUCUACUGAGACUGGCUUCUUUUCACCAACAAAAAGACAAAGCCCUUCAAGGAGAAGUCUUUAGGCCUAAUUGCCUCAUUUUUGCCUGGAACAUGGAUGUGAUUUCUGGAGGCGCACCAGCCACUGCAGGGCCCUGUUCAUAAAGUUAUGGAUGCUCACAUGUGCAAAGUUAAAGGGCCACAUCUGGUGAGGGCUUUCUUGCUGGUGAGGAUUCUCUGAAGAGUAUUGAGGCAGCAGAGGACAUCACAUGCAUCGCUAGCGAACUUUGCAUGAAUGCACCUUCAGGGCCCUUCAGUUACUGCAGCUAUGAAGCAGUGGCACAUAAGGGAAGUUUCCUUCUCUUUGGGGAAUCAUAAAUAAAAUAGUGGUGUAAUCAAGGACAGAAGAAAAAAGAGACUUCAGACAGAUUUCUUCCGAGUCACCGGUGGGAGCUUCCCAGGGAGAUGCGGCUUUAUUCCCUCAUGGCAGACAGGAGGAGGAUGCUGAGCGGGAGCUGAUGCCACCUGGCAGCAAUGGUGGCACAGACUGCUGGAGAGGCACAGAUUGGAACCCAAGCCUCAUCAGACGGCAGCUGUGACAGCGGCAUAUUUCAAAAAUGUAUUGCAAAUUUCACACAAGGGGUCUUUAAAAAAAUUUGAAAGUCUCCUUGGCUUUCACAGACUUUUAAUUAAGAGAGAACUCCUCUUCUUUGAAAAUCAAAACACUUUUUGCCUAUUUUAUGUAUCUAAAGGUAGAUGGGAACUUACAGCCACAUUUAAAAAAUUUGCAGUUGAUUAUGUGGUUUUCAAAUUUAAUAACCUACUAUGAAUAAUUAACUCAACAAGAAGAAAAGGGCACAUUGGCACCUCACAAUUAAAAGAGUAAGAGUGAAAUUAAAAAAAAAAAAAAAAAAAAAAAA
rnacentral:lncRNA from 1 species